rnacentral:rRNA from 1 species
GUCGAACGGUGAAGCCAGCUUGCUGGGUGGAUCAGUGGCGAACGGGUGAGUAACACGUGAGCAACCUGCCCCUGACUCUGGGAUAAGCGCUGGAAACGGCGUCUAAUACUGGAUAUGUGACGUGACCGCAUGGUCUGCGUCUGGAAAGAAUUUCGGUUGGGGAUGGGCUCGCGGCCUAUCAGCUUGUUGGUGAGGUAAUGGCUCACCAAGGCGUCGACGGGUAGCCGGCCUGAGAGGGUGACCGGCCACACUGGGACUGAGACACGGCCCAGACUCCUACGGGAGGCAGCAGUGGGGAAUAUUGCACAAUGGGCGCAAGCCUGAUGCAGCAACGCCGCGUGAGGGACGACGGCCUUCGGGUUGUAAACCUCUUUUAGCAGGGAAGAAGCGAAAGUGACGGUACCUGCAGAAAAAGCGCCGGCUAACUACGUGCCAGCAGCCGCGGUAAUACGUAGGGCGCAAGCGUUAUCCGGAAUUAUUGGGCGUAAAGAGCUCGUAGGCGGUUUGUCGCGUCUGCUGUGAAAUCCGGAGGCUCAACCUCCGGCCUGCAGUGGGUACGGGCAGACUAGAGUGCGGUAGGGGAGAUUGGAAUUCCUGGUGU